UACGUAGGGUGCAAGCGUUAUCCGGAAUUAUUGGGCGUAAAGAGCUCGUAGGCGGUUUGUCGCGUCUGCUGUGAAAACCCGAGGCUCAACCUCGGGCCUGGAGUGGGUACGGGCAGACUAGAGUGCGGUAGGGGAGAUUGGAAUUCCUGGUGUAGCGGUGGAAUGCGCAGAUAUCAGGAGGAACACCGAUGGCGAAGGCAGAUCUCUGGGCCGUAACUGACGCUGAGGAGCGAAAGCGUGGGGAGCGAACAGG
rnacentral:rRNA from 1 species